GAUUAUACGAAAUUGAUAAAAGAAAUUGUUGAUGGAGAAACGACCGAGUCCGUUCCCCAUGUGAUUAUGCAUUUAAUAAUUAAUUUAUUCGAAUAGUUUGUUUGUUUCGUGCCAGAAGCUAUGCAACACUCCAUAUCUCGUCAAUAAUUUCGCUAGCAAGCGCCAUCUAUCAAUGAACGGUAAUGAAGACCAAAAUUUAGCUCACUUCGAUC
rnacentral:lncRNA from 1 species